rnacentral:tRNA from 1 species
GCGAGAGUGGCGGAAUUGGUAGACGCGCACGUUUGAGGGGCGUGUGGUUUUGCCAUACGGGUUCGAUUCCCGUCUCUCGCACCA